UGUAUGCGUGUGUGUGUGUGUGUAUAUAUAUAUAUAUAUAUAUAUACAUACACACACACACACACGCAUACACA